rnacentral:rRNA from 1 species
GAUAAACGCUGGCGGCGCACAUAAGACAUGCAAGUCGAACGGACUUAACCUAUAGUUUACUAUUGGAGCGGUUAGUGGCGGACGGGUGAGUAACGCGUGAGGAACCUGCCUUUCAGAGGGGGACAACAGUUGGAAACGACUGCUAAUACCGCAUGACGCAUAGGAGCCGCAUGGCUCUUAUGCCAAAGAUUUAUCGCUGAAAGAUGGCCUCGCGUCUGAUUAGCUAGUUGGUGAGGUAACGGCCCACCAAGGCGACGAUCAGUAGCCGGACUGAGAGGUUGACCGGCCACAUUGGGACUGAGAUACGGCCCAG